CGGCGGACGGGUGGGUAACGCGUGGGUAACCGUGCCUCAUACAGGGGAGUAACAGUUGGAAACGGCUGCUAAUACCGCAUAAGCGCACAGCACCGCAUGGUACCGUGUGAAAAACUCCGGUGGUAUGAGAUGGACCCGCGUCUGAUUAGGUAGUUGGUGGGGUAACGGCCUACCAAGCCGACGAUCAGUAGCCGACCUGAGAGGGUGACCGGCCACAUUGGGACUGAGACAUGGCCCAA
rnacentral:rRNA from 1 species